CUGCCACUUGCUUGUGACACAUUGUGAUGAUCGUGGGGUAUUUUCCUGUUGGAAUAUAGGCACUGGUAGAGGAGCUACGUGGCCACAGGAGUUUUGCACAGCCUGAGUAGGCCAUGGUCUAAAGUAAAAGGUGGAGACCAUUGACCUGAUGUGAAAAUUGGAAAAGACCUAAGAUUGAUUUGCCUCCAUUUAGAUGCAGGGGCGGGCUGGGAUGCCUGUCCCGUCCUCCAGUCCUGUGGGAUUGUGGAACACCGGUAGUGCCUUUGGGACAAAGCUCAGAAGGCGUACCUGCUAUCACUAACUUUUUAGGAUGGCUAAAUGUGAAUUUAGGUAUAAAGAUUUAUAUAUAUAUAUAUAUCUUGGUUUAUGGCCUUUUCCAUGCAUAAUUGUAAUCAAUGUAUAGAAUUUCAAAAAUAUCUCUUCUAAGAUUAUAGUUGAUUUUAACCAUCAUUUCAGAAAAUAAUAAACUAAGUUGCAUCCCG
rnacentral:sRNA from 1 species